GUCCACGCCGUAAACGAUGGAUACUAGCUGUUGGGGCAACUUCAGUGGCUAAGCGAAAGUGAUAAGUAUCCCACCUGGGGAGUACGUUCGCAAGAAUGAAACUCAAAAGGAAUUGACGGGGGCCCGCACAAGCGGUGGAGCAUGUGGUUUAAUCGAUGAUACGCGAGGAACCUUACCAAGGCUUAAAUGUAGAUUGACCGGUUUGGAAACAGACUUUUCGCAAGACAAUUUACAAGGUGCUGCAUGGUUGUCGU
rnacentral:rRNA from 1 species